UGGAUCCAGACCUUUAUUAUGGCUCAGGAUGAACGCCGGCGGUGUGCCUAAUACAUGCAAGUCGAGCGCACUGGCCCAACUAAUAUGACGUGCUUGCACUGAAUUGACGUUGGAUUACCAGUGAGCGGCGGACGGGUGAGUAACACGUGGGCAACCUGCCCUGAAGCGGGGGAUAACAUCUGGAAACAGGUGCUAAUACCGCAUAACAACGAAAACCACAUGGUUUUCGUUUCAAAGAUGGUUUCGGCUAUCACUUCAGGAUGGGCCCGCGGUGCAUUAGCUAGUUGGCAAGGUAACGGCUUACCAAGGCGAUGAUGCAUAGCCGAGUUGAGAGACUGAUCGGCCACAAUGGAACUGAGACACGGUCCAUACUCCUACGGGAGGCAGCAGUAGGGAAUCUUCCACAAUGGGCGCAAGCCUGAUGGAGCAACACCGCGUGAGUGAAGAAGGGUUUCGGCUCGUAAAGCUCUGUUGUUGGAGAAGAACGUGCGUGAGAGUAACUGUUCACGCAGUGACGGUAUCCAACCAGAAAGUCACGGCUAACUACGUGCCAGCAGCCGCGGUAAUACGUAGGUGGCAAGCGUUAUCCGGAUUUAUUGGGCGUAAAGCGAGCGCAGGCGGUUGCUUAGGUCUGAUGUGAAAGCCUUCGGCUUAACCGAAGAAGUGCAUCGGAAACCGGGCGACUUGAGUGCAGAAGAGGACAGUGGAACUCCAUGUGUAGCGGUGGAAUGCGUAGAUAUAUGGAAGAACACCAGUGGCGAAGGCGGCUGUCUGGUCUGCAACUGACGCUGAGGCUCGAAAGCAUGGGUAGCGAACAGGAUUAGAUACCCUGGUAGUCCAUGCCGUAAACGAUGAGUGCUAGGUGUUGGAGGGUUUCCGCCCUUCAGUGCCGGAGCUAACGCAUUAAGCACUCCGCCUGGGGAGUACGACCGCAAGGUUGCAACUCAAAGGAAUUGACGGA
rnacentral:rRNA from 1 species